rnacentral:rRNA from 1 species
UACGUAGGGGGCUAGCGUUGUCCGGAAUCAUUGGGCGUAAAGAGCGUGUAGGCGGCCCGGUAAGUCCGCUGUAAAAGUCAAAGGCUCAACCUUUGAAUGUCAGUGGAUACUGCCGGGCUAGAGUCCGGAAGAGGCGAGUGGAACUCCUGGUGUAGCGGCGGAAUGCGCAGAUAUCAGGAGGAACACCGGUGGCGAAGGCGGGUCUCUGGGCAGUAACUGACGCUGAGGAGCGAAAGCGUGGGGAGCGAACAGG